CUUCUUCCUGAUCCCCAGCAUCAUCUUUGCCGUCAAGACCUCCAAAUACUUCCGUCCUAUCCGGAAACGCCUCAGGUGAGGGGCUGCCAGGGCUGCAGGCAGCAUCAGGGGCCAGGGAGGUGUCCUUUCAGCCGCCAGGGUCCCCUGUCACAGCCCCUCCUGAGACCUCCCAGGCAGAGGAGGCUCAUGAGCGAGCCCUGAAGAGCCACACUCUGAGGAGCUCCAAAGCCAGGAAGUUCUCCCGUAUGUCUGCCCCUUACCCUUCUUGCUGCAUCCAUUUGGGCGCAGCUUCGUGGGACCCUUCCCAUCCCCCACAGGGCUUCCGAGGAGAAACCCUCAGGGCUCUGGGUUUGUCCCUGUGUCAGGGCUGAGGGUCUGGGGGGAAGGGUAUGCUCACUCUCUGUCUUUGACACUGCAGCUCCACCAGCUCUGAGGAGACUCAGCUCUUCCACAUCCCCCGGGUUACCUCCCUGAAGCUGUAGGGCCUUGUGGGGUGAGGUGACCCUGAGGCUGCCUGUCCUCCCCUUUGAUUUAGCCUGGGCCACAGGACUUCGGUAGCUCUUGCCCCAGAGCCCAGGCUGGCAUCCAGGCCUGGACUGUCCCCAGUUCCGGCUUACCUGGCCCCACCUUGCCUGCUCCUUUCCACCCCUUUCUGCUCACGACCCCCAUCAUUCACGCUCAGAAUCACAUGGGACUUCUGUGCAGCUGCAGAGCCAGCAAGUCCCUCCAGGUGUCACCCCUUACCCCCAUGCUGGUGGCAUCCUCACAGGAAGAGCCUGUUCUCCACCUGCUGGAGCCUGGACCCUGGGGUGGGACAGAGGCCUCGUCCAACCCCACUCCCCUUCCCGUGUGUCUUCCCCCUGCCAAGCCUCCCCCUGCCAAGCCUCCCCCUGCCCCUCUCUGAGCCCCUCGCCCCC
rnacentral:lncRNA from 1 species